AAAUGUCUUCAGGGCAGGGUGAAAAUCCCGAUCGGCGGUAUAGUCCGCUACCCGCAGUAUUGCGGCUGACCCGGUGUAAUUCCGGGACCGACAGUGACGCGCAUAGUGCUCCAACGCGCGAAGUCUGGAUGGAAGAAGAUGUGU
rnacentral:ncRNA from 2 species